GUCCGACAGAGUUAAGUUUCUCAUGAAAUGAAACUUAAAUCUGAUGAGGCUUCCAGCUGAUUUCCAGAGGGGGCCGGGUAGGCGACACGAAAGAACAGCUGCUGCGGAGCAGGGACCGCCCGGACCUCCCAAAGCAAGAGAAACCAAUCAGCUUCAUUUUCAACUUCAUCUAAGACUUCAAGGGAGUCACUUUGCAUCCUGUGGCAAAUGAAGAUGUUACCUGAGAAAAUACAGAAUAGAUCAGAGGCAAGACGUUCUAUCAGAAGGAAGCACUAUGAAUCUACAGGAGGAGAAAAGAAUUUAACCUAGCAAGCCUCACAGUCCCAGCCUGGCUUUCCCUCUGUAAACUAACUACAAGACUCAGCGUGUUCUCCCUUAAGUACCACGGACAGACCUCAGCUUGUCCAUAUUCCCAUUCUGAUUAAAGAAAGCUCCAGUAACUCUCUGAGCAGUUAUAUUCAAUUUAUGUGUAGAACUUUUCUGGAUACCCUGCAGAGUGUCCCUGAACCCAUGUGUUAUAGAAUACUAGUUAAAAAAGUUGUAUUUUUUUUUUAAUUUAGCAUAACUUUGAAAAUAUACCUAUUAGCCAAUUUGGGAACAAGCUCAUUAUUGUAAAGAAAUUAUUUUCAGUCUUUUAGACCUGCCAUUUAUAAAUAUCACCUGCUUCUACCUUCUCU